rnacentral:sRNA from 1 species
AAAUAUUAUAAAUUCAUCCUACCAUCUAAUCCCGUUCGGUGAAAUUAAAUAUAUUUUCUUUUGUUUUUUGUUUAAAUAAUACUUU